AAGAAGGAAACAUAGAGGUUAUGUGGUUGGCUUGAAACUAAUUUGAGGGGGUUCGAUUCCCUCCUCUUCUUG
rnacentral:tRNA from 1 species